rnacentral:misc_RNA from 1 species
AUAUCUCAACCACACCUUUGGGUGAGGCUUGGAUCUGGGGGGUUUUGUGCAGGCUCCAGCUUUGUGGUCUGCUCCCCUGAAAUGCAUGAGUGGUCUCAAUCCUCCAUUAGGUGUGAUAAAUUAUCUGCAUCUGAUGGAAAGGUCAUGGGCUGCUAUACCUCGUUGGAGUUGAUAA